rnacentral:rRNA from 1 species
AGAGUUUGAUCAUGGCUCAGAUUGAACGCUGGCGGCAGGCUUAACACAUGCAAGUCGAGCGGGGAAAGGUAGCUUGCUACCGGACCUAGCGGCGGACGGGUGAGUAAUGCUUAGGAAUCUGCCUAUUAGUGGGGGACAACAUCUCGAAAGGGAUGCUAAUACCGCAUACGUCCUACGGGAGAAAGCAGGGGAUCUUCGGACCUUGCGCUAAUAGAUGAGCCUAAGUCGGAUUAGCUAGUUGGUGGGGUAAAGGCCUACCAAGGCGACGAUCUGUAGCGGGUCUGAGAGGAUGAUCCGCCACACUGGGACUGAGACACGGCCCAGACUCCUACGGGAGGCAGCAGUGGGGAGUAUUGGACAAUGGGCGCAAGCCUGAUCCAGCCAUGGCCGCGUGUGUGAAGAAGGCCUUAUGGUUGUAAAGCACUUUAAGCGAGGAGGAGGCUACUUUAGAUAAUACCUAGAGAUAGUGGACGUUACUCGCAGAAUAAGCACCGGCUAACUCUGUGCCAGCAGCCGCGGUAAUACAGAGGGUGCAAGCGUUAAUCGGAUUUACUGGGCGUAGAGCGCGCGUAGGCGGCUAAUUAAGUCAAAUGUGAAAUCCCCGAGCUUAACUUGGGAAUUGCAUUCGAUACUGGUUAGCUAGAGUGUGGGAGAGGAUGGUAGAAUUCCAGGUGUAGCGGUGAAAUGCGUAGAGAUCUGGAGGAAUACCGAUGGCGAAGGCAGCCAUCUGGCCUAACACUGACGCUG